rnacentral:rRNA from 1 species
UACAGAGGGUGCGAGCGUUGUCCGGAAUCACUGGGCGUAAAGGGCGCGUAGGUGGCGCCCCAAGUCCGUGGUGAAAGCUCGAUGCUCAACAUCGAGUCGGCCACGGAAACUGGGGGGCUCGAGCACUGUAGAGGCAGAUGGAAUUCCGGGUGUAGCGGUGGAAUGCGUAGAGAUCCGGAAGAACACCGGUGGCGAAGGCGGUCUGCUGGGCAGUAGCUGACACUGAGGCGCGACAGCGUGGGGGGCAAACAGG